UGAGGAAUAUUGGUCAAUGGGCGAGAGCCUGAACCAGCCAAGUCGCGUGAAGGAAGACAGUCCUAAGGAUUGUAAACUUCUUUUAUACGGGAAUAACGGGCGAUACGAGUAUUGCAUUGAAUGUACCGUAAGAAUAAGCAUCGGCUAACUCCGUGCCAGCAGCCGCGGUAAUACGGAGGAUGCGAGCGUUAUCCGGAUUUAUUGGGUUUAAGGGUGCGUAGGUUGUUCGGUAAGUCAGCGGUGAAACCUGAGCGCUCAACGUUCAGCCUGCCGUUGAAACUGCCGGGCUUGAGUUCAGUGGCGGCAGGCGGAAUUCGUGGUGUAGCGGUGAAAUGCAUAGAUAUCACGAGGAACUCCGAUUGCGAAGGCAGCUUGCCAUACUGCGACUGACACUGAAGCACGAAGGCGUGGGUAUCAAACAGG
rnacentral:rRNA from 1 species